rnacentral:rRNA from 1 species
CACGUAGGGGGCAAGCGUUGUCCGGAUUCAUUGGGCGUAAAGAGCUCGUAGGCGGUUCGAUAAGUCGGGUGUGAAACCUCCAGGCUCAACCUGGAGACGCCACCCGAUACUGUCGUGACUAGAGUCCAGUAGGGGAGUGUGGAAUUCCUGGUGUAGCGGUGAAAUGCGCAGAUAUCGGGAAGAACACCCGUGGCGAAGGCGGCUCUCUGGGACGGUACUGACGCUGAGACGCGAAAGCGUGGGGAGCGAACAGG